UACGAAGGGGGCUAGCGUUGCUCGGAAUCACUGGGCGUAAAGGGUGCGUAGGCGGCGCGGUAAGUCGGGUGUGAAAUCUCGGAGCUUAACUCCGAAACUGCAUUCGAUACUGCCGUGCUUGAGGACUGGAGAGGAGACUGGAAUUUACGGUGUAGCGGUGAAAUGCGUAGAUAUCGUAAGGAAGACCAGUGGCGAAGGCGGGUCUCUGGACAGUUCCUGACGCUGAGGCACGAAGGCCAGGGGAGCAAACAGG
rnacentral:rRNA from 1 species